rnacentral:rRNA from 1 species
AACGAACGCUGGCGGCAUGCCUAACACAUGCAAGUCGAACGAUACCUUCGGGUCUAGUGGCGCACGGGUGCGUAACGCGUGGGAACCUGCCCUUAGGUUCGGAAUAACUCCCCGAAAGGGGUGCUAAUACCGGAUAAUGUCUUCGGACCAAAGAUUUAUCGCCUUUGGAUGGGCCCGCGUUGGAUUAGCUAGUUGGUAGGGUAAAAGCCUACCAAGGCGACGAUCCAUAGCUGGUCUGAGAGGAUGAUCAGCCACACUGGGACUGAGACACGGCCCAGACUCCUACGGGAGGCAGCAGUGGGGAAUAUUGGACAAUGGGCGAUAGCCUGAUCCAGCAAUGCCGCGUGAGUGAUGAAGGCCGUAGGGUUGUAAAGCUCUUUUACACGGGAUGAUAAUGACAGUACCGGGAGAAUAAGCACCGGCUAACUCCGUG